rnacentral:misc_RNA from 1 species
GAUGAAGAACGUAGCGAAAUGCGAUACGUAGUGUGAAUUGCAGAAUUCAGUGAAUCAUCGAAUCUUUGAACGCACAUUGCACCUCUCGGUAUUCCGGGAGGUAUGCCUGUUCGAGCGUCAUUUGUACCCUCAAGCUCUGCUUGGUGUUGGGUGUUUGUUCCGCCUCUGUGUGUGAACUCGCCUCAAAACAAUUGGCAGCCGGCGUACUUGUUUCGGAGCGCAGCACAUUUUGCGAUCCAGAUCAACGUACAGCGGCAUCCAAGAAGCCUUAUUUAACGCUCUUGACCUCGGAUCAGGUAGGGAUACCCGCUGAACGUAAGCAUAUCAAUAAGCGGAGGA